GCAAAAAGAGAACAUGGUUCGAGAAAAAAAUCCACCACACCAGCUUUCCACCAAAAAAUUGCCCCUGCUGAUAUCAUCCCGAGUCGCUAGCAAAAGAGCCCGUGCGUUGCAACGGGAGAAUGCAAGGCCUGAGAAUCGGACACGAAGGCAUAGAUAUUCUAAUGGUGCAGUAUUAUCAAACAUGUCAAAUAUGUAUCCUUAGGAUCCUUGUACGGGUCAGAUAGCAUUACGGAUUUUUGUUCACGUUUAACUCACUUUUCUUCUUCUUACUCCAUCCAUUAUCUUUGUCCCCCAAUUGAAGAUUGUCGCUAUAAGCAAUGGAAAAACUGACAUGCAAUACCAACGGAUGUUGAGG
rnacentral:lncRNA from 1 species